rnacentral:rRNA from 1 species
UACGGAGGGAGCGAGCGUUGUCCGAAGUUACUGGGCGUAAAGCGCGCGUAGGCGGGGAAUUAAGUGAGAAGUGAAAGGCUGGGGCUCAACCUCAUGCAGUGCUCCUCAUACUGGUUCUCUUGAGGGCGGUAGGGAGAAGUGGAAUGGCUGGUGUAGCGGUGAAAUGCGUAGAUAUUAGUCGGAACACCGGUGGCGAAGGCGGCUUCUUGGGCCGUUUCUGACGCUGAUGCGCGAAAGCCAGGGGAGCGAACGGG